GAGAAUGAAUGCCUGUGAUAGAAUUGAUGG
rnacentral:piRNA from 1 species